UCGGGAAUUUUGGGCAAUGGGCGAAAGCCUGACCCAGCAACGCCGCGUGGGGGAUGAAGGCCUUCGGGUUGUAAACCUCUUUCAGCAGGGAAGAAGCGAAAGUGACGGUACCUGCAGAAGAAGCACCGGGGCUAACUACGUGCCAGCAGCCGCGGUAAUACGUAGGGUGCAAGCGUUGUCCGGAUUUAUUGGGCGUAAAGAGCUCGUAGGCGGUUUGUUACGUCGGAUGUGAAAUCCCAGAGCUUAACUCUGGGCCUGCAUUCGAUACGGGCAGACUCGAGUGUUGUAGGGGAGACUGGAACUCCUGGUGUAGCGGUGAAAUGCGCAGAUAUCAGGAAGAACACCGAUGGCGAAGGCAGGUCUCUGGGCAACUACUGACGCUGAGGAGCGAAAGCGUGGGGAGCAAACAGGAUUAGAUACCCAUGUAGUCCCUGAGCGGGCUGGCAAGGCGCAU
rnacentral:rRNA from 1 species